GCGUACCCAUUUGUCUGGAAAAAUGACUUUAUUUUUCAGGAUUUUCCUUUUCUCUCGCGAUAAACAUGAUGGUGUAAUAAAUAGUCAGAGGGGGGGCGAGCGGGCUCGUUCCCACCCAUUAUCCCCCCCUCUCCUCUCGCCGCUUUCUGCAUCGUAAUGCUCUUGUUAUCCCCCAACACACUGCAAACAAGUCUUCAUAGAAUUUACAACCCAAAAUGAUAAAAAAUAAAGCUUGACACAAGCUGAAAAUGACUGCCCUCAGCUCCGUGCCGUUUCGUAUCAUCUUCCAACUCUCCAUCAUACACACAGGCACGCAUCUUUGAGCUGGAUAUUUGCAGCAAAAUCUUCAAGAACAAAAAUAUAUAUAUAUUUAUAUAUUCACAGUUACAGUAUUUACACUUUUUUCAAGAUUAGAAAGAAAAACAAAAAAGAUGACGGGGCCGAAAGAAGACGUUUCCACAAGAAACAAUCUUUCAAAAAGGGGAAGGUUUUUUUUUCCAAAUCGGGUGUUCUGUACACAAGAUGAAUCUUUUUUUUUAUAGAGAGAAAUGUUCUAUGAGUACACCCCGUGUUGUUAUCCUUGAAGUGAUCCCUGAAAAUAUGAUUUCUUUAUAUUUUGUUUUUCUUUAAAUACACCAUCUCUCUUUUUUUUUCAUUUUCUUCAUAAAAAGGAAGGCUGUCCAUUGUCUGCAUUCCCUGCAUUUAAAAAAGAAAAAAAACAGAAAACCAAAAUUCUGUACAAACAUUCCUAUCCUGUACAAUAUAAACAUUAUACUGGUCUUUUUUAAUGUGAGCUUAACACAAUCGCCCCUAGCUUGCCCCGUCCCUAUACCACCCGGUGAGGUAUAACCUAUGGGUUGGGAUGGGGUGUGUGGUGGGGGUGUUCGGGGUAACAUAAGCAGACUCAGGAUUGACAAGUGCCGUCCGUGGGCCCCUAGUGCAAUCUUGGGAGGUUUUUUUUUUGGGACUGGUGCAGGUUUGGAGCAGUGAGGAGCAACUUGGACUCAUUACUGGGGUGGAUUUCUCGAAACCAAAGUUGCUUACUACAUUAGCUACUUAGUUGUUUUCAAUGCAUUUUCCCAUUGGCAACUACCGAAGUUGCUAACAGGCUAGCAACUUCUCUUUUGAGAAACUCACCCCACUGCUACAUAUUCCAAAUGACCUGCUUUGUGACUUGUCCAAUUCAACCAGGUGAUUGAAUUGGACAAGUAAAAGAAGGUGAUUUGGAAUAUGUAGUACUGGGGUGUAACCUACUGAGUCCAGGUUGUCCAUCACGGGACGGGGAGCAGGGGAAGACAGAAGUGAUAUUACCAAGUGGAGUGAGUCAAACAGCUUUCAAAGAUCAAGGAUUUCUCUCACACACACACACGACACACACACACACACACACAGCCCCUCUGAACAAUUGAGAACAUUUUAAACACCAAAGUGUGUGCAUGUGUGUAUGUGCAACAACAGUGGAGGGCUUCUUGCCUUUUUUCUUUGUUUGUUUUUUGAAGGAACAGGCCCUACAGGAAUGGGACAAGACAGGACAGUACAACAGACCGUACUGCCACCAGGUGACAGACAGACAGACAGACAGACAGACAGACACACGCACACAACUGCAGUCCAGUCUAAUAUCUGUGGGGCAUAUUUGGCACUCCUGUAACACUGGUGUGUGUUGCAAGCUCGCCCACACACACACACACACGUGAGACCUCUCACUGGCUGCAGAACAGUCGAGCCUGUCAACUCUGAAUUCUUCUUCUGAAGCAAGGGGAGCCAGAAACACCCUCUGUGGCACAGACAAUGAACUUGGAUAACACUUGAGGCACGGGAGAGAAAGUAAAGAGCACCCUGCAGUGCCAGCUUCAAAUGGGGCAUUACUCGCCUUUCGUGGCCAUGAUGGGGGUGGGCCAGUGGUGUAGUCUACUUUUUUAUGGUGGGUAUACUGUAUAUUUGAGCAUUUUUUGAAGUGGGUAUACUGUAUAUAUUUGUGCUAUUCAAAACAAUAGAUCAAUCAAUUUUAAGUGGGUAUACUGAAAUCCCUGAAAUUUAGAAGUGGGUAUACUCCGUAUACCCGCGUUCUACGUAGACUACACCACUGGGGUGGGCUGUGCACUACUAUGUGGGGUGGGCUUCAUCUUGCUGAUGUAGUAGUGACAACACUGUUGAUGAGCAUAGGACUCUGGCAUGGACAACACACGCACACACGCACGCACACACACACACGCACACACAGGUUUUUAGCAGCUUAGGUCCUCAGUGAAAAAUUGGUCUGACUGUGCUUGCCGGCAGGUACGACAUACAGUAUGUAUACGGGGGGAGAGUUCUGCGUCUGCAUUGGUUGAGUUUUGCAAUGCACUUCGAGAAUACAGGUGGUUAAGACCUCUCUCUGGUGAUGAUCCUGCAGCAACAAAGCUAAGCCGUCAUUACCACAGCCAACCCACAGAGGGCAGCAUACACACACGUUCAACAGGGGCCCAAGACUUCAGCCAGGACUACCAAUGGAACCAUCUGGAUAUUACCUAACACUCAGAGAGAUACGCAGGGAGGGAUAGAGAGAGCGAGAGAGGGAGGGAGGGAGGGCGAGACAGAGAGAAUACUAAAGUAGUGCAGUGCCGCUAAUAGAAGAAUACCUCACUGUAGAGUUGUAGAGAUACACAAUGACAGCUCGCGCUGCUUUGGGUACAUUUGCUUCAGCAAUGGGGUCAUUUGCUGCACAUUUGUAUAAUGACUUCGGCAGCUGUGUUUCAUGUUGAUGAUGGCAGGUCACAGUGUGUGUGUGUGUGUGUGUGUGUGUGUGUGUGUGUGUGUGUGUGUGUGUGUGUGUGUGUGCGAAUCACAAACAGAUAAUUGACUUACUUAGCUGUGUGUUGUGUUUGAGUCAGAGAGAUCAACUCUACCUACGGGUGGCAUUUGUGCAGCACUGUGAAUGCAAAACCGAACACUGUGGCCUGGGGAGGGAGUAUUGCAAGAACCUGGUUUGAUAGUAGAUGAACCAUGCGGUGGUGGUAACUCAUCUAGUAGAAGAGCUGUGCUCCAGGACUUUCUUGACUGAAGGGAGGACUGCAGCCUGUAUAUUAGCAGGUUUACCGCUUGCCGUAGGUCAACUUAGGGCCUCCGCACACUGGCUCCCACAAAGUUCGAUUCCAUUGUUGUCAAUACAUUCACCCCGCACACCGGCGCCUAGUAUGUCCGCGGACAUUUGCGGAUGUCGGCAAGCGAUUAGAGACGAGUUCUAUUUUGUCGGAGCCGCCCAUGGACUAUCCAUGCUAUGUUGGUGUGAAAUUGGGUUUGGGGGUCAGAACUGUUUCGGAAGCGAAAGUGUUCCGCAGUGCUGUCGGAGCCGAUGUCCGGAGGUCAACUUAGCCAGGUGUAGCACUUAACCAUGAUCUCGGAAUACUAGUACCCAGGUAAAGACAUAACAAGCGACCAACAGAGACAUUCACACACACAUUAACACACACACACACCUCUCCUCUGUGGCUGUGGCACUGGGAACAUUGUGCGUGUGGGGGGUAGAUACUGAGCAGCUUGAAGGUGUUCCACAGUGACUGUAGCGACAGACCACAGGCCAUCUGGAGAGAGAGAGAGAGAGAGAGAGAGAG